rnacentral:misc_RNA from 1 species
UUUAGAGGUCGCUGUGACCUGUAUAGUGUAUAGUUUUACAAAACCCCACAAAUCUUUAGUUGCGUGCCGGCAGCCGAAGCGUGUGGACGUGUUUUGUUAUCGUAAUUUUUGUUUAUAAUCGUGUACUACGAGUUUUUGAAGAUCACCAACCAAAACACGCCGAAGGCACGACUCGAAACGAAAUAAAAAAAUCUAGUCAAAUAUUCACAAUUCUUUACAAAAUUUUAAAAAUGAAAUAAUAAAAACAGCUGUGUUAUUAAAUUAAUUUAAGAUCGUACUUAUAUUUUAUUUGAUAGUUACUUUUGUUUAUAAGUGUAAAUAAAGAAUGCAGAUUUUGAAGGCGCGUUUCGCUCUAAGAGCGUCCGCGUCACAAUUUCAAGCAUGGAGCUCCGCGAAAGGACGUAAUGCAUCUUCGAAAGCGAAGCCAGAAUACAAGCCGAUCAGAAGCGUCUUGGUUGCAAACAGAGGAGAAAUUGCCAUCAGAGUGUUCAGAGCAUGUACUGAGCUGGGAAUCCGGUCCGUCGCCAUCUACAGCGAACAGGACAAACUGCAGAUGCACAGACAAAAAGCCGACGAAUCAUAUUUAGUCGGCAAAGGUCUACCUCCAGUUGAAGCGUACCUCAGUAUUCCUGAAAUUAUCAGAGUCGCCAAGGAAAAUGAUGUGGACGCUGUGCAUCCCGGUUAUGGUCUUCUGUCUGAGAGGGCAGACUUCGCUCAAGCAAUCCUCGACGCCGGCCUCCGAUUUAUCGGUCCAUCCCCAUUCGUGGUGCAGCAGAUGGGAGACAAAGUUGCCGCUAGGAAAGCUGCCAUCGAUGCUAGGGUGCCAAUUGUCCCGGGUACUGACGGUCCGGUAACGACCAAGGAGGAAGCACUUUCCUUCUGCCAAAAACAUGGUCUUCCAGUUAUCUUCAAGGCUGCAUACGGUGGAGGUGGACGAGGUAUGCGAGUAGUGAAAGAAAUGAGUGAGGUAACAUCCGCCUUCGAGCGAGCCUCCUCCGAAGCACUGGGAGCAUUCGGCAACGGUUCCAUGUUCAUCGAGAGGUUUAUUGAGAGACCGCGUCACAUUGAAGUGCAGCUGUUAGGUGACAAGGCCGGCAACGUAGUUCACCUUUACGAACGUGAUUGCUCCGUACAGAGAAGGCAUCAAAAAGUUGUAGAAAUUGCACCUGCACCCGGUUUGGACCCCGAGACCCGUAAGAAGAUGACGGACUGCGCCGUGCACUUGGCUCGGUCUGUCGGCUACGAGAACGCGGGUACCGUGGAGUUCCUACUCGAUGAUAAAGGCAAUUUCUACUUCAUCGAAGUCAACGCUAGAUUACAAGUCGAACACACAAUCACAGAAGAGGUAACAGGCAUAGAUUUAGUACAAUCGCAAAUCCGAGUGGCAGAAGGUAUGACGUUACCCGAACUGGGACUAACGCAAGACAAGAUCAGAGCAGAAGGAUUUGCGAUACAGUGCCGAGUUACCACUGAAGAUCCCGCUAACAAUUUCCAGCCUAGCACCGGACGAAUUGAAGUGUUCAGGUCUGGUGAGGGUAUGGGCAUCCGUCUGGACUCUGCGUCAACAUACGCUGGUGCCGUCAUCUCUCCAUACUACGACUCGCUUCUCGUUAAGGUAAUUUCCCACGCAUACGACCUGCCAGCAUCGGCCGCUAAAAUGAACCGCGCUCUCCGUGAGUUCCGUAUCCGCGGCGUCAAGACCAACAUUCCGUUCUUGCUCAACGUGCUGGAAAACCAGAAGUUCCUUAAUGGCGCCCUGGACACGUACUUCAUCGACGAGAAUCCCCAACUCUUCAUGUUUAAAGUAUCGCAGAACAGAGCUCAAAAAAUCCUCAAUUACCUCGGACAAGUACUUGUGAACGGCCCCGCUACUCCUCUGGCCACUAAGAUACCGCCCGCUAACGUCAAGCCGUACAUUCCACCCGUACCGCUGGACCUAUCCCCUGAGGCUAUUAAAUUGCAAGAAGCAACAGGGGAAAACACAGCUAUCCAACCCCCCAGAGGUUACAAACAGAUUCUCACCGAGGGCGGUCCUGCGGCCUUUGUUAAGGCAGUCAGACAGCACAGGGGCUUGUUGCUCAUGGACACCACCUUCAGGGAUGCUCAUCAGUCCCUGUUAGCCACCAGAGUCAGGACACAUGACCUGCUGGCCGUGUCACCCUAUGUCGCUCACAACUUCAGUAACCUGUACUCACUUGAGAACUGGGGCGGAGCUACUUUUGAUGUUGCCUUAAGGUUCCUCCACGAGUGUCCAUGGGAGCGGCUCCGAGACAUGCGGCGUCUGAUCCCCAACAUCCCCUUCCAGAUGUUAUUGCGAGGAGCCAACGCCGUCGGCUACACUAACUACCCCGACAACGUCGUCUUCAAGUUCUGUGAGAUGGCUGUUAAAAACGGCAUGGACAUCUUCCGAGUAUUCGACUCCCUAAACUAUCUUCCAAACUUAAUCCUUGGAAUGGAAGCCGCGGGCAAAGCCGGUGGUGUGGUCGAAGCUGCCAUCUCUUAUACAGGCGAUGUGUCAGAUCCCAACAAGAAGAAAUAUGACCUCAAGUACUAUCAGAAAUUAGCUGAUCAGCUGGUGAAAGCUGGAACCCAUGUGUUGUGUAUUAAGGAUAUGGCGGGGCUUUUGAAGCCUCAGGCUGCUAAGUUGCUCAUUGGAGCCAUUCGCGACAAACACCCGGACAUUCCAAUUCACGUGCACACACACGACACAUCCGGCGCUGGCGUCGCCUCUAUGCUGGCAUGUGCCGAGGCUGGCGCUGAUAUCGUGGACGUGGCCGUGGACUCCAUGUCCGGCCUGACCAGCCAGCCCAGCAUGGGCGCGGUAGUCGCGUCCCUGCAGAGAACUAAGCUGGACACGAAAAUCGCACUUCAAACAGUAUCUGAAUAUUCAGCAUACUGGGAGCAAGCGCGUACACUAUACGGUCCCUUCGAGGCCACAGCGACCAUGAAGUCCGGCAACGCCGACGUGUAUCUCAAUGAGAUUCCCGGAGGACAGUACACCAACCUGCAGUUCCAAGCCUUCUCACUGGGCCUGGGUACCCAGUUUGAAGAAGUUAAGAAGGCUUACAGGGAAGCCAACCUUCUUCUUGGCGACAUCAUCAAAGUAACUCCAUCAUCAAAGGUAGUGGGAGACCUUGCCCAGUUUAUGGUGCAAAACAAGUUAACAGCUGACGAUGUCAGGGCCAAGGCUGAGGAGCUGUCCUUCCCCAAGUCUGUUGUGGAAUUCCUACAGGGAGCUAUCGGUAUACCGUAUGGAGGAUUCCCUGAACCACUCAGAUCUCAAGUAUUGAAAGACAUGCCAAGAAUUGCAGACAGACCCGGCAAGGAAUUAGCACCUUUGGACUUCGAAAAGUUGAGAUCAGACCUCAUUGAAACUUACCCGGAGUUGUCGGACCUAGACGUGAUGUCGGCGGCCAUGUACCCUCAGGUAGCGAAUGACUUCUUCCGCAUCCGCGACAAAUACGGACCUGUCAAGAACCUCGACACCAGGACAUUCUUGGUUGGACCUUCUGUUGGAGAAACGAUAGAAGUGAAGAUUGAGCGAGGAAAGACAUUGGACAUCAAGACAGUCGCCGUGUCGGACGAGAUGACAGCGGCGGGAGAAAGGGAAGUCUUCUUCGAGCUCAACGGACAGCUUCGAUCUGUGUUUAUUAGAGAUGAAAAUGCUAGCAAGGAAAUGAAAAUCCACCCCAAGGCAGUGAAAGGUGACAAGAACCAGGUUGGAGCGCCAAUGCCAGGAACAGUACUUACAAUCAAAGUGAAAGACGGUGACAAGGUCGAGAAAGGACAACCCAUAGCCGUUCUAUCAGCCAUGAAGAUGGAGAUGAUAGUCCAAGCUCCCAGAGCCGGCACUGUAGCCUUCGUAGCCAUCACCAACGGACAGAAGUUAGAGGGAGAUGACUUAAUCUGUACCAUCGCAGACUAAACAUAAAGAUCAAUAUCGCAUACCAAGUGACAAGACUUAUUCGGCACAAAAUCAUAUUGGCAGCAAACAAAUAUGAUUUUAUAGUAAUAUUUUAGCAUUUUAACAAUUAAUUGUAAGUCCUUUUUUGCUAUCGUAAAUGUAUUGUUGAAUCAUUUUUUUAAAUAUAAUUUGGAAUGUAUAAAGACAAUUUUUUUUCCAAGAAAAAAAAAUGAUCAAGGGUUUACAAUUUGUAUACAAAUGUGAUAGUAUCACACUAUUUAAUAGUGUCCAUUUACAGUGACUUGUAAGCAUCAGAGUACAAAAGUGAAUGGAAAUUAGUUUAUAAUAACAGCGUAAAAGAAUAUUGGAAAAUCGAAUAGUUGUGUAUAGGAGUGAAAUAUGUAGUAUGUAGAACAUGGAACGCGUAAUCAGGGUGUAAUGUUAGGCAUUAGAAGAGGAUAGACACGUCACAACACAUUAUUCCUAUAGGUAGGUUAUAUAAAAAUAACCUGUGACCUCUCUAUUCGUUAAGUUAUUGUUAUUUGGUUAUCGUGAAACGAUUCGAGUUCCGGUGCUAAUUGUUAUUUCAUUUUGUUAAAAUCCGUUCAUCAAUUUGUUUUUUAUUUAAUAAAUUGAUUUUUUUUUACUGAAA